CAGAACAUAACCUACAGAGGAUUAAAAUGCCAAGCAAGACAUUUCAGCAAACAACUUUUGGUCAAAGGCAACAAUAACAUUUGCUUAACUACACAACCCCAUAUGCAGAAUUCAAAUUCAAAUUCAAAUUCAAACAAGUCUGUGAUCGUGAAUAUUUUUCGUCAAUUUCUUCCCUAAAGUCACCAUUCAAUUCAUCUUUGCUCUCUCUUGAUUGCUGUAGAACCUCGAAAUAUCAGCGUUUUAGUGUUAAUGAGCAUCCAAUUAGGGAGUCACAGAGGGAACAAGC
rnacentral:lncRNA from 1 species